GUUGUUGCGGUUAAAAGCUCGUAGUUGGAUUUCUGCGGGAGACGGACGGUCUACCUUACGGGUAAGUAUCUGUCUUGCUCCAGCAUCCUCAUCGGGAACGUCGCUGCGGUUUGUUCCGUGGUACGGUACCGAUGACUUUUACUUUGAGGAAAUUAGAGUGUUCACGGCAAGCUAACGCGUGUAUACAUUAGCAUGGAAUAAUAAUAUAGGACCUCGGUACUAUUUUGUUGGUUUCUAGAACUGAGGUAAUGAUGAAUAGGGACAGUUUGGGGGGACUUGUACCAACGCGUCAGAGGUGGAAUUCUUGUAUUGCGUUGUGACAAACUACUGUGAAGGCAUUUCCCAAGGAUGUUUUCAUUGAUCAAGAACGAAAGUAUGGGGAUCGAAGACGAUUAGAUACCGUCGUAGUCUAUACCAUAAACUAUGCCAACUAGGAAUGGGGAGGAUGUAUGCUUUAUGACCCUCUCCGCGCCUUAUGAGAAAUCAAAGUCUUUGGGUUCCGGGGGGAGUAUGGUCGCAAGUCUGAAACUUAAAG
rnacentral:rRNA from 1 species